ACCUAAUGGGAGACCCGUAAGGGACAGUUGAGGGUGUUAAAAAGCCAGCCGUCUGUCACACCUCAGUCACUACUCCCCUCCUUCUCUUUUUAAGUCCUUUCUGUCUCAGCAGGGCCACCAUAGCUCUGAAGUCUACCUCCCUGGAUGUUGUCCUGUCCCUCCACCCCCUCCCCCUCUGUCAGCCAAUCACGCUGGCCCCGUUGGAGGUUCCUGAAGAUGUCAGCGGCGGCGGCUUCCAUCUGACCUGCAGGACCCCGGGCGUCUGACCGCACUGGACCUGCACCUCCUGGGGAGGGAGAGGGGGCCCUGGGGAGCACAACACGCACAAAACAGACUCCUCAACAGUGGGUGCACCAAUUCUGCCUCGCUGAUGGAUAAAAAGAAGGUGCUGACCCCGGGCCGCUGUUCCCCUGCAGUCACACAGCGAGCAGAUGCAGUCAGCAGUGUCUCCGAGCUGCAAUGUGCAGCUGUUGGUGUGUCCGAGAAUCUACAUCAGCGUAGUCUCAAUCACAUUUCUACGCCGACUGUCAGCAGACGACACACGCAGUGUGGAAUGGCGGCGGCGGCCGUUUGUAGGUUUCAUUUCCUUAAACUGUGGCUGUCAUAAACAAGCUCCUCUGAGGAGUCAAGUGGGUGCUUAAAUCAAUAUUUCAGCAGAGCCACUUUCAUUAAGACUGGACACAAACAGCAGAUUUCCUGGCAGGGUACUGAAGUUUACAUCCAUGUCUGUCCAGACUCAUGAAAUCUAUACAGUGAAGAGUCUGCAGGAAUUUAAUAAAAGGACUGACAGAAACCUUCAUCGCCUGGUGCACAACAACAACCACCUGAACCUCAGCACCACCAAACCUGUGAACUUGUGGUGGACUACAAAGCUUCACAUCUGGACGUUACUGCAGAGAAGCUACAGACUCUGAAACAUGGAGGCUCCUGAUCUCUACAGUCAGCACAGUUUGAAGGUGGACACCUGAGAUCAGAGUCACCAGUUCAGUCUGUGAGCACAUGUGAAACCUGGUCCCAGUGUGCCGUCCAGUUCCUCAGUUCUGCUGCUGGAUGAUGGACAGAAAACAUCAGAAAGAAGAAAAGAAGACUUCCUGAGAUAUCACGUCCACGACAACAGGACGGAUGGACGGACAAACUGAAAAAACGCCUCCGGCUCUCGCCAGCGAGGACACAAAGUGAAAAUGUAUGACUCAGAACUAAUGAAGUUGCUCGUCUUGAAGACCACGUGGUAAUUUUCUUCAGAGAUGGAAACACUGAAUCAUCUUUAAGACCACAGCAUGAAGCUGAAUGAGAGAAAACAAAUAAUCUCAGCAAGGUUUGUCCAUGACUUGUCUCCACUGAGCAGCCAAUUCAGUCUACUGUAAAGAGCCCAAACACAUUACUUAGAUUAAAGUGUGCUGUCUGUACUGGAGGAUGACAAAAGCAUGAGCGAGAGGUUACACAUCUAAAACUGGUGAACCUGCCUCAUGUUGUCGAGGAAACGUUUACCUAACAACAGGAUCUCAUUUGCCUAAACAGGAAGCAACACGCUGACAUUUACGGUGCUUUAGAUUGUGUUGCCAUCUGCACCUUGAAGCUCAUUUUGUCUAAAGAUAUUAUGCAAGGUGGAAAUGAGGAAUGUGCACUAAAUCAAAAAGCCAUUCGGGAUACAAAGAGACAGCAUCAGAUACCUCAGACAGGAAAGCCCGAGCUGGGCUGCGGGCUCGACUGCGACUGAGGAAUGUUGGCUUGACGGAGAGGAGCUCCGGCUUGUCUCCACUGAUCUGCAGCGGUCGAAUGAACUCGGAUAUCAAAGAUCUGCUGGUUGGAGCCUCAUCGCCUGUGGAACAAACAGACCUUCUCGCAUCAGAUCCUCACACCACAACAGGACUGGUAAGUCAAGCCUGUGCCAAACGAGUUCAUUGACUUAAACGUCCAUUUCAGAGACAGAAAAGAGAAAUCAGUAACUUAGCAUUUUAACAUUCUACAAUGGUACUGGCUAUAACUGCAGGUACAGCUGAUUGAAGACAUUAACCUGCACUAUGACGUGAUUUGCUCAGUCUCCUCUUAAAUCCCCCCAAAUCAAAAACACAUAAUUUUGCUGUUUAGCCAUGUGGAUUGUUUUAGUGUGACCUGCAGAGGUUUAGAGAUAUCAGCUGCAGAGAUGUCUGCCUUCUCUAGAAUAUGAUGGAACUAAACGGCACUUCAGCUCUGGUGUUCAAAGGAAAAAAAAAAAAAGAAGAAUUCAACAUUAAUGUCUCCUUCCAGAAACUGUGACCUGUUCACUAAAGAUAACCCUUGUUAUGAGCAGGUUUAUGUGGGAACUAUUUUCUUUCUGUAUCACUGCACAGAAGGACAUGUGCAUCGACAAGUGCACGAGGGGCUGAUGCUGGUGACGGGGCGGGAUGUAAGCGUUAAUGGUGUCCUCCUUGGCUGAGCUGUAACAUUAUCUCACACCAAAGCAGUCUCGAUGGAUAAACAGCACUACAGGUUGCACCAUUAAAGAUUUACACCCUCAUCAGGACUGAAUGGAGCCACAUACAUGCAAGUAAGUAACUAUUGUUGGUAGUGGUCUUUUCAUGGCAUUGAUGACAAUAACAAAACUAUAAGAAUAAACACCAAUCAGAUACUUUAAGAGCGGAAACUUCAUUGCACAAACUACCACUGAUAAACUGCACGUAACUGUUGGGCAGGUGUAAUGGAAAUUCCAGGUGCUGAAGCAUGAUUUUCUUAAAUUUGAAUGGCAGAUCAUCAAUAAUCACUAAUCACUAGUUUCAAACUGUCAAAAGUGUGAACCAGAGACGCUCUGGAGGUCACUGCAGCUGCCAUGGAAUUGUAUUAGCACUGCCCAACGCACAGCGACGCCGCUGCUGCUACAGCACAGUCCGUCCUGUCACGAGUCCGUGUCAUGCAGACAGGUUGUCGCUGGAUAUAACAUGCUGUUAGCAGACUGACGGCGAAGGAAGGCCUGCAUUUGUGAAACAGAAUCAGUAAUUAAGAGG